GCACCCCCUUGCUCCAGCUCUGAGCAGCCCUGUGGCACCUGCCUCAGAGGGACCUCCUAUGUGGCCAACAACUACAAUUAUUAAAACACAGACAGCAAACAAGAACACUGUUAUAAUCUGAUGCCUUGAAGCAAAGCCCAGCACAAGCGAGGAGAGGAGAUGGCACGACAUUUUUAGGUCAGGCUUGCAGCCUCCCGAGGGCAGGGCACCGCACUCCAGCAUCCCCACCGCUGCUCUCUCCUGGGGACUCGGGGCCUUCUUUCAGCACAAAAUGCAGGAGGUCACUGCGUGAAGAGGUGACCAAGGUUUUCUGAUGGAUCAUCUUUGCCCGGAAAGGCUAAUUAAAAGAUGUUCAUCUGACUGACACUUCAUCACCAAGGAGCGAUGAAGUCCUGCUCUCCUGGGUCUCUACCCCAGGCACUCUCCCUGCGCUCUCUCCACCCCGUGCCGCACGCCAAAGGACUUGCCAGGGCAAUAUGGAUCUCGCUGGGACAACAUGGAGCUCUACGACCAGCAACAGCUCGUGGGAGGAUGCUGCAGAGCAACGCUGAGGGCAGGCGAAGCAAAGCAGCUCGGAGCUACUCACUCAAGCUCAUCUUGACCAUUCAGAGCCCUUCAUACACCAGCCAAACCACGGAUACAACCACCGCCCGGGUCUGAGCACACCAGCACCCAACACGUCCCGGAGCCCAAAGAGCACUUUGAGGCACUGUGCUAACAACCGCCUGUCCUGUCCUCUC